rnacentral:rRNA from 1 species
UACGGAGGGUGCAAGCGUUAUCCGGAUUCACUGGGUUUAAAGGGUGCGUAGGAGGGCAGGUAAGUCAGUGGUGAAAUCUCCGAGCUUAACUUGGAAACUGCCGUUGAUACUAUCUGUCUUGAAUAUUGUGGAGGUGAGCGGAAUAUGUCAUGUAGCGGUGAAAUGCUUAGAUAUGACAUAGAACACCAAUUGCGAAGGCAGCUCGCUACACAUAUAUUGACUCUGAGGCACGGAAGCGUGGGGAUCAAACAGG